AUGGUUGCAUGUGGAGAGCUAACUGCACUAUAAGUAUUAAGAUGGACAACUUGGAUUUCCUAUGAAAGGGUUAAGUGAAAUAUUGUAGAGCUUGCUGCCCAGCUCUGAAGAAGUUAGGCAUAGGAGAAAGUGAUAAGAACAGCACAAGGACAUGGAGCUAGGGAAAGGAAAACACGGGACUGUCUCAAGGCCUGGGGAAUUUCCAGAUGUGCCUUAUGUAAGAUGUUUUCUAUUCUUGAGUGCUAUAAAAGAGAGCAAUAAAGUCAAUAAAGCAGCUCGGUCUCUGAGAGCCCUCCCGACUCUGUCUCUUUGUCUUUCUUUUUCUUCAUCCUCACUUCCCCAUUCAGGAACCUUUCGACAGGUGACGGCGGGCUCCGUCACAGGUGGCGCCCGAACAGGGACCUGAAUAGGGGGCAAAUUUGCAGUGAAGGACGCCGCGGCUUGUGGAUCCGGUAAAGGUGAGUAGCUUCUCUGCUACACACUCCUACCAUGAUGGACUAUGCUGCCACAAGGCCAAAAGUAAUGGAGCCAAAUGACCAGGAAGUGAAACCUCUGAAAUUACAGCUUUAACGACAUCAGACAUUCUAUUCUCCAAGAGGAGUUCACCUGGCAUUCUUGAUGAACUCCCAGGUAAAGGAGGAAAAUUUGAAGCUAAAAAAUCUCACUACUUACAAUGGACCAGACAAAGGCCAAUUUGAAUGAACAAAAGUUCAAUUACAGAAUUUCUCUACUUGCCCCCGAAGUAGUUGUCAUCUCUCCACCCCAGAGUAACCACAUUAUGUGAUUCCUCAAGGGGGAGGUUCUUAGAGGUCUGCAAGAACAAAUAGUGCCACAAUAAUUGAUGGUUCCUCCAAGAUUCCUGGACCUGCUAGGAAUCUGCAUCUGAAGUCACUCCAAGGGACCAGGUCCUCAGAACCCAGACCUUGAAGAAAGAGAUGUUCUGGGAUGCUGCCCACCAGGAGAAGACAAUAGAGGAAUUCUCAAAACUGGGUCCACAGCAUCUCUGAAGAGAGAGCAUGUGGAUGGUGUUACCUUCAUAUGGGGGACCCUAGAGGAUGUGUAUCACAGAAGAUCCACUACACUGCCGGCCCUUAGAGAUGAAAUGGAAAACGCAUGUGCAGCAAUCUCAACGACCAAGGUUACCCAAGCAGCAGUUCACCAUACUAAUAAAUGCCUGGAAGCUAAUGGCCAUCGCUUUUGUAAUAGUAGAGGCCAAAGCCUACUUGUAUUACUCCCAUGAUGUCUCAAUAAAUUUGGUAUUAAAAUAUUUA